rnacentral:lncRNA from 1 species
GUGGCUCCUGAAUUGUGCCCAGCCAGACUGCGGCAUUUGGUGGGCCGCAUGGGGAACGACUGAGGAUAAGUGAUAAGGUAAACUGCUCGCCCCUGAGGGCAGGGCGAGAGGAUGGGUAGCCAUUUUAAGAUUCUUCUUUUGUUUUUUUUCGCUUUUGUUUUAAGUUGCCUGUCCCUGGAGAUGAGUGAGAUGGAAGAAAAACUGCUCACAUCUGAGGAAAAACUAUUUGCGUCUGAGGAACAGAUAGGGAGAAAGGACGGAUGGACAUUUCAGGAGGAUAGAAAGGCUGAUAUAAUGAUUUUGUGUUGUUCCAUUUUUGUUUCAUUCUGUCUCGGUUUUGUUUGGCGUCAUCUUGUUGGGUUGUAUUAUAGUAGAA